CAAUGAGAGCAGGAACUGCCGGUACUCUGCAUAGUUAAUGAGCUGUCAUUCUGACUUCAACUGAUACCGCCCAGCUCCGCUCAACCAGUCCUGAUCGCAGAGUUAAGGUCCUGUCUCAAUCCUGUACUGCUGAAGCAGCUGACGUCUUCAGGAUCACCACACACUUCAGGACAGGUGUGUGAACAGAUUAGAGAUAAACUCUGCAGGAUGCUGGUCCUCCAGGACAUCACUGUUAGAGUCACUAGGAACAGGUCACUGCAUCUUUUGUAAUGUAGAUGCUUGGAUAAAAAGCAGCCAUGCUACAGCAUCUAAAAUGGAGACUAUUAAAUCUAUUAAAGUGGCUCUGUAACAUAAGAGACUUGGGAUGGUGGAAGGAGCAGAAGAUCAGAGAUCUACUGGUGCCCAUUAGGGAUUGAUUUAUCUAUAAUUAUCUAUAAUAUCUACUUAAUGUUCUAAUGAAGUUAUAAUUGGUCAUUAUUCUUUUUUAUAAAUCUAUUCAAUAGAUUCUAGUGUUCAAUAGUUGGGGUCAGAAAGUUUUUUCUUUCUUUAAGAUAUUACUUGUAUUCAGCAAGGGUGCAUUAAACUGAUAAAAAGCAACAGUAAAAACGUUUACAUUGUUGGACAAAAAUCCUAUUAAAAAAAAUAAAUAAAUGCUGCUCUUUUAAAACCUCUAAAG